CAGACGUAUGCUUUUCCGAACCCUCCAUCCGUAUGAUAAAUAACCAACCCAUGAAAUCAGCCCUUGAGUUUGAUCUGCCCAUAAAGAAAGGCUAUAAAGCAAAGGACCUGAUUGAUGGAAUCUGCAAAGAAUUUGGAUUAAAUGACAAUUCAGUAAAACUUUGGGAGUUCAUCAAUCCAGACAUUGGAACCAGAACAUGGAAAGGCUGCAAAGAUGUUGUUCCUGUUGCUAUGGAUCAAAAGUUUAUCAUCAAUGAAGACAAAUUUGAAGUGUUGAUGGAAAACGGAAGCAACCUUCCAAAACUUGUCAAGGAACUAAUAUAUACUGUUAGUUAAAAAUUUUGAUUCUUCAUGAAUAUCAACCAAACAGAAAAUAUUGAUUGUUUGUGAAAUAAAAUUUGUUUCCUUUGAUUAUAAUAAAUAAAAAAAAUAUAUAUAUAUA
rnacentral:misc_RNA from 1 species